rnacentral:lncRNA from 10 species
GGAAGUGUUUGAAGACUAGGGUGCCAGCCAGUAUGAACUGAGAGAUGGGAAGAGUGAUGCAAGCUGAGAUUGAAGAGACACGUGUGAUUCUGAUCACGCUGAAUCUUAUGACCCAUGAGAAACUGCAACUGUAGCAGCAUUCCUUCCCCCCAGGAAUGUGACAAAGAUGAGCACCAUUCCAACACCUGUUGCUGAGGCACUUUCCAGGGGUCUAGCUGUGGAGGCCCCUACUCUUCUCUAGAGCAGGCACUUCAAUCUUCAGGCCAAAACUAAAAUGUCUGCAUGACCACACUGCCAGGUUGCCCAAGAUUGGCUGACUUUGUAUGCAUCCUGAUUAAAAAUGGCAUCUUGCUCUCUGGUCUGGGAAAAUGCUGUGGCUUUUCCCUGUGACUUUUCUUCACAGCGUCUCCAAACUUCUCCCCAAGUUAGUUCCAGGGCUUAGGAGAAAAAAAGUGCUCUCCCUCGGCCUGGGCUGCUCAGAUCCCCAGUGGAAAGGUGAAUCACAGAGGGAGCUUCUCUGCCUUUCUCACGCACUGGGAAUUCACUCACUUUUAUCUGCUGGAUGCUUGUAUGGGGGCUGUUGGGUUGCAUUUUCCUUCCUGGAAUCUGGGAUGUCCUUCAUGAUUCUGGUGGAAUCCUGUUUACCUUCUUGAAUUAAAGCUCACAGAAUUGAUCUUCAUGCUUUUCCAAAUGGCUGAGGCAUGGUAAAAACCUCUCUGAUCCACCAUCUUUGAAAAUAAGACUGUUUAAAAAGAAAUCCUUGCUUUUCUUUGUCUUAACAGAUGAUUGAAAAUUUAUUUAAAAAUAUAAUGCCAUAAUUUUGAGUUUAUAACAGGUACAAAUAUUUAAAAAAUGACAAAAUGGCAGGAGGAUAGAUAAAUAUCUGACAAGGUAGGUAAAUAGAAUUUUACUGUUGCAAGAUUUUAAAAUUUUAUAUUAAAUAGUAUACUGUGAGCUCUAAGGAGACUAUGAUAAGUUAGAGAUGCAUAUUGUAAUCUUUUAAGUACCACUAAAAUAGUAAAAAAUUCUAUUUAAAAUCAGAGGAAAGAACAUAGAAUAAUUUAAAAAUCAUACCAAAAUAAUUCAUGGUAGGAGUAACUAAAGAACAAAAAGAAAUGAGAAAGCAUAAAAAUGUAAAAUGGUAGUCUAGAGCCCAGUCAUAUUAAUAUUGACAUUAUGAACUCCUGAAUAAAUACUUCUAUUAAAAGGUACAUAUUAUGAGACUGGUU